UACGGAGGAUCCAAGCGUUGUCCGGAUUUACUGGGUUUAAAGGGUGCGUAGGUGGACUUUUAAGUCAGUGGUGAAAGCCUGUAGCUUAACUAUAGAAUUGCCAUUGAAACUGAAAGUCUUGAGUACAGUUGAGGUGAGCGGAAUGUAUCAUGUAGCGGUGAAAUGCUUAGAUAUGAUACAGAACACCGAUUGCGAAGGCAGCUCAC
rnacentral:rRNA from 1 species